rnacentral:rRNA from 1 species
UACAGAGGUCUCAAGCGUUGUUCGGAUUCAUUGGGCGUAAAGGGUGUGUAGGUGGCGCCGUAAGUCGGGUGUGAAAUUUCGGAGCUUAACUCCGAAACUGCAUUCGAUACUGCGGUGCUUGAGGACUGGAGAGGAGACUGGAAUUCACGGUGUAGCAGUGAAAUGCGUAGAUAUCGUGAGGAAGACCAGUGGCGAAGGCGGAUCUCUGGACAGUUCCUGACGCUGAGGCACGAAGGCCAGGGGAGCAAACGGG